UGAGGUAAGGGCUCACCAAGGCGACGAUCCCUAGCUGGUCUGAGAGGAUGAUCAGCCACACUGGAACUGAGACACGGUCCAGACUCCUACGGGAGGCAGCAGUGGGGAAUAUUGCACAAUGGGCGCAAGCCUGAUGCAGCCAUGCCGCGUGUGUGAAGAAGGCCUUCGGGUUGUAAAGCACUUUCAGUCGUGAGGAAGGUAGUGUNGUUAAUAGCUGCAUUAUUUGACGUUAGCGACAGAAGAAGCACCGGCUAACUCCGUGCCAGCAGCCGCGGUAAUACGGAGGGUGCGAGCGUUAAUCGGAAUUACUGGGCGUAAAGCGCAUGCAGGUGGUUUGUUAAGUCAGAUGUGAAAGCCCGGGGCUCAACCUCGGAAUAGCAUUUGAAACUGGCAGACUAGAGUACUGUAGAGGGGGGUAGAAUUUCA
rnacentral:rRNA from 1 species